rnacentral:rRNA from 1 species
UACGUAGGAGGCAAGCGUUGUCCGGAAUCAUUGGGCGUAAAGAGCGUGUAGGCGGCUUGCUAAGUCUUGCGUGAAAUCUCGGGGCUCAACCCCGAGCGGUCGUGGGAAACUGGCAGGCUAGAGUGCGGGAGAGGAGAAUGGAAUUCCUGGUGUAGCGGUGAAAUGCGCAGAUAUCAGGAAGAACACCCGUGGCGAAGGCGGUUCUCUGGAACGCAACUGACGCUGAGACGCGAAAGCGUGGGGAGCAAACAGG